GAUGAACGCUGGCGGCGUGCCUAAUACAUGCAAGUCGAGCGAACAGACGAGGAGCUUUCUCCCCUGACGUUAGCGGCGGACGGGUGAGUAACACGUGGAUAACCUACCUAUAAGACUGGGAUAACAUCGGGAAACCGGAGCUAAUACCGCAUAAUAUAUUGAACCGCAUUGUUCAAUAGUUAAAGACGCUUUUUCUGUCACUAAUAGCUGGAUCCGCGCCGAAUUAGCUAGUUGGUAAGGUAACGGCUUACCAAGGCAACGAUGCGUAGCCGACCUGAGAGGGUGAUCGGCCACACUGGAACUGAGACACGGUCCAGACUCCUACGGGAGGCAGCAGUAGGGAAUCUUCCGCAAUGGGCGAAAGCCUGACGGAGCAACGCCGCGUGAGUGAUGAAGGUCUUCGGAUCGUAAAACUCUGUUAUUAGGAAAGAACAAAUGUGUAAGUAACUAUGCACGUCUUGACGGUACCUAAUCAGAAAGCCACGGCUAACUACGUG
rnacentral:rRNA from 1 species